AUAUUCGUCAGCGCCGAUCCAUGAACACCCAUCAGCACGUCGCACGAGUUCACGAUGCGCGAGAAUUUGGACACGUCCGGAUCCGCCUCGGUGAUCACAACCUCGUAUCCCACCUCCGCUGCCAUCUGAACGAUCUCCUCCGCGUUCACGAGUCUUCUCGUUCGGGCCCUGGUUAUGAUCAUUAGCCUCGGCUUCUUGUCGCUCUGCUCGCCGACCCUCGACGGGUGCUCGCUCUCGAGGGAGAACACGCUUCUUGCGAACUUGGCGAAGUCGAACAUGGUGUACCCGUGCGGAGAUUUGGAGGGCUCCAUCUGGAAGUCCUCGACGCUGCUGCAUCUCAGCCCAAGAGUCACAUGCUUGAAGCAACGGACUGCGUCGUCGUUGUCGUACUCGAUGAUCUCGUACUGCGACAGCUUCUGGAAGAACGGUCGGUACUUGUCCAUCCAUGGCGGAUUCAUAUUGGCGAUGAGAAACUGGACCUCCCCGCCGAAGGGGUAGGCAGUCUCGAAGAGAGGGACGAGCACGUCGGCGAAGUCAUGGAAGAAGUUCCCCGUCCAUCCACCGAUCGCAAAAACCAGCGCAGGGACGGUGUGGUUGACGGAGCAGCGCGUGUCUUCUCCGUAACCAUGGACCGAUUUCAAGGUCACCUCCCGAACACGAGCACCGGAAUCUGCUGCCCAUUUACGGGCGUAAGGUUUGAUCGUCCAUGAUUCACCUUCUCCGUUAUCGUUUGAUUGAGGUGGAGCGACGAACACCAUCCUGGUGUCCUUGCCGAUGAUUCUGACAUCGCCGUCUGCUUCACAGAUAUCCGAUUUACUAUUUGAACGAUCGCACAUUGGCUUCUUCUCGGCCUUCGUUCCGCCUUUGCAAAACACACAGCAGUUGACUUAGAAUGGGAUUGUCAUGUUUUCUUUCAGACGAAUAAAACGUUGGUGAUCUAAACGAAUAGUGCUCGAUCGUCAGAGCUACAACGAAUCAGUACUUAAUAGGAGCCAAAAUAGUGCACGAAGUGCGAUGAUAUUAGUCGAUCAAUUUCUUCGAGAACACAAGAAAGAAAAGGCUGAAAGAACUCAAUCUCUGCAAGAAACUCUGUUUAGCCCUUUUGGGAACAGACUUGCUCGAUAUGGUCAAACUUCGAAACGCAAAUAGAAUACCUGAUUCAUCGGGGCUUCCUUUUACUGGAAUCUCGACGUGAACGACAGGUGAACUCUUCCCAAUCUCUGCUGCCUUGGCACUGGCUGGAGCACGAAUGAUUCAUGCGUCAAUUGGAUCAUUCGGAAAGAAACGAUCAAGCAUCAAAUUUUCUUUUUGAAUCUUCUGAUAUCAACCAGAGGGCAAAAAUAAGCUUAAAUGAAAUAGAAGAACCUUCUUGUCUAAUGGAAUCACCGGAUGUCAUGGAGGCAUUAACCUUCAACACCGGUGGAAGCUGAGACCUUGCUGCAAAUCAAAACCAAUCAGCUAAGGAACUACAACGAGCUAAUGACACCACAUCUAGUUGACAAAGAGAUGGUAUGAACUUACCCAUAGAGACGCGCAUAGUGUUAGUCCUCGACAUCGUCACAUACAUUAGCGAGACCAAAAUGAACGCUGCAAGCAAUCCAACGCUACAGUCUCGAGUAUUCACACGGUUGAGGCUCCUAAACACCUUCGCCAUCUCCUCCUUCCAACUAUAGUCUGUUCUACUGCUAAGCUGACGAAGUGCUUCGCCUUUUCCUUCAAGAUGGAUUGAGAGGAAGCGUUCGACUGCAAACUAUCGAUGCCACACAACCAAUCAUCAGACACUCGGAUGAUUAUUAUUACUGCUUUAUAAUGAUCCUUGGAAGGAGAGACGAUCGACCAUGGAGUGUUCUCGUCUUACAGCUAAAGCAUUGAGAUUCCAAUCACAUUAAUUGCUAUAUAAACUCGAUUAAAGAAAAAUAAAUGCAACCAAGGAAAGGCAGAUAAUAGAACGCGUAGUGGGCACCAACUCGUUUACUUCUUCCUCCUCGGUGCACGACGAGCUCAGUCUUUCAGCUCGCAAAAACCUAUUUCUCUUUUAAUAUGGCGUCAUGGUUGAUUAGUUGGUGGCGUGUAAGGAAGUUAAUUGGGAUGAGAACAGUGACAUGAAGACAAUUCAAAGACUGGUUAGGAACUCCACAUUGAAGAAGAUGACUAGUCUGUUGCUAGCUAGAUCAAACAUAUAUACACAUCAAAGUAUGAUAUUUUCUAAUGCAGAAAAGAUGGCUGAUACCCUGCUAUGCAUGGUCCAACAAGCUCUCGCUUUUAUGCUCGUAAUUGAGAUUAGAAUAAAGACUCGGCGUGUCAGAGGAGACUACAACUUUUAGCAAACCCUAGAGAAGAAAGCUUCCGGUGGAAGGAGACGAAGUACAUAUGGCAUGCAUGCGAUUGUGCCGAGGACUGGCGUCUCAACUGGUGUUGUUGUGGGAAACAGCCUGGAGCCGUGGCCUUGGGGCCGACACGGCUCGAUUCGGGUCCAGACGACGCGAUGGCGUCUCUCGAGCCCGCUGAGGCGGUCGGGUGCGGCGUCCGAUCGGGAUGGUGUGGCUGUCUCCUUCGGGCAGGAACUCCUCGCCUGCGGGACCGACGGGGACCUUCGGCUUCGCACCUGCACAAAGGUUGGGUCGGAGUGCUCGGCCCGACCCCUUCGACGAUCAAGUUAGAAGAUGUGGAGGGGGUUUCGGGAGAAGAAGUGUUUUUUGUAUGUCCGUCCCCCCCGCUCAUUCAGAGUGCGAGGGUAUUUAUAGGGAGGCUUACUGUUUCCUGAUGUGCCCGCUUGUAGGGGGCAGGCUGGUUGCGUCUGACAUUGGUUUGGCGUGGCGUGAAUAAUCGAGCCUGAGUAGGUGUUAAUGAGUCUCGGCCUAUGUUCCGGUCCGUUUGAUCGGGUGCCGUCGCGUCGUUCGAGGCGUGAGACGUCAUCUGACGUCAGUCGGGUCUUAUCAUAAUUACUAUCCUCAUCCGGUGUUGCUUUUUAAGGGCCUUUAUGAAUGCAUUUGGUUGUCACUUUCUUUGAGGUCGCGUCGAAAUCAUCCACAGCAGAUCGUUAAACAGUGAUUUAGGAGUUUCACUUAGUCUUGAGUUUGGAUUCAUUGAACGAAUGAUUGCAGUACAAUGGACUCAUCUAAAGUAAGCUAAACGCAGAAGAUACAGGACAUUGAGUCCGGUCACAUUUGCUGUCGAUAAUUUUAAUGAAUAACUUGGAACAGUAAGUAAACUCAUCAACUAUUCUUCGAAAUAAAGGAAAAUAAAAGAGCUUGAUUCUUCAUACAGAACCUCCGACCAUCUCAUUCCCUCGGCUGUUCCUUGAGGAUGUGAAGGGCAUGUUCCAGGAAAGGGCGGAACCUUCUCACGUCGAGCUUCACAUUCUGUUCUUUGAGGAAGAUCCUGGAGAAGGUGUCCCAAUCUGCGUUCUGAGGGUGCAGCGACAUGGGAUCCUUGAACACAGCGUGGUCUCUUGGGUACAGCGCGGUGAGAGUGGUUUCCUCCUCGUUGAUGCUGUAUUCCAGGUAGUUCAGCUUCAUCUGCUUGGAAGGCUCCCUGAAGUAAUGGCCGGCGAUCCAGUCCAGAUUACCCCAUGGCACGACUUGGAUCACCACAGAGUUGGUGGGAAGGAACACCAUAUUUGUCAGCGCCGAUCCGUGGACGCCCAUCAUCACGUCGCACGAGUUCACGAGCCUCGAGAACUUAGAGAUAUCAGGAUCUCCCUCGGCCACCACCACCUCAUAGCCCACCUCUUCCGCCAUCCGAACGAUCUCCUCCACGUUCAUGAAUCGUCUUGUUUGGGCCCUGGUUAUGAUCAUCAGUCUCGGCUUCUUGUCGGUCU
rnacentral:lncRNA from 1 species